rnacentral:rRNA from 1 species
AGUGAGUGGCGAACUGGUGAGUAACACGUGGGAAACCUGCCCAGAAGCGGGGGAUAACACCUGGAAACAGAUGCUAAUACCGCAUAACAACUUGGACCGCAUGGUCCGAGCUUGAAAGAUGGCUUCGGCUAUCACUUUUGGAUGGUCCCGCGGCGUAUUAGCUAGAUGGUGGGGUAACGGCUCACCAUGGCAAUGAUACGUAGCCGACCUGAGAGGGUAAUCGGCCACAUUGGGACUGAGACACGGCCCAAACUCCUACGGGAGGCAGCAGUAGGGAAUCUUCCACAAUGGACGAAAGUCUGAUGGAGCAACGCCGCGUGAGUGAAGAAGGGUUUCGGCUCGUAAAACUCUGUUGUUAAAGAAGAACAUAUCUGAGAGUAACUGUUCAGGUAUUGACGGU